AGUGAACGCUGGCGGUAGGCCUAACACAUGCAAGUCGAACGGCAGCACAGUAAGAGCUUGCUCUUACGGGUGGCGAGUGGCGGACGGGUGAGGAAUACAUCGGAAUCUACUUUUUCGUGGGGGAUAACGUAGGGAAACUUACGCUAAUACCGCAUACGACCUACGGGUGAAAGCAGGGGAUCUUCGGACCUUUCGCGAUUGAUUGAGCCGAUGUCGGAUUAGCUAGUUGGCGGGGUAAAGGCCCACCAAGGCGACGAUCCGUAGCGGGUCUGAGAGGAUGAUCAGCCACACUGGAACUGAGACACGGUCCAGACUCCUACGGGAGGCAGCAGUGGGGAAUAUUGGACAAUGGGCGCAAGCCUGAUCCAGCCAUACCGCGUGAGUGAAGAAGGCCUUCGGGUUGUAAAGCCCUUUUGUUGGGAAAGAAAAGCAGCAGGUUAAUACCCCGCUGUUCUGACGGUACCCAAAGAAUAAGCACCGGCUAACUUCGUG
rnacentral:rRNA from 1 species